GUUAGCAGGAGUGGAGAAGCAUUGUUUGAGGCCAGGACAUCUUUUGGGGGCCCUGGGGGACAUGAUGCAGAGCUCUUACCAUUCAGGUGACCUCAUCAGGGCUGCUGGGGCGGGGGAAGGAUGGAUGUCUGAUUGUUAAAAGGCCACAUUCCCGGGAGAGCUCGAAACUGUAAUCAAGGCUGGGUUCGCCGUCCCAGGGAGCCAAUGAGUCCGUUUGAGCUUGUUCCUUCUUGACAACGUGUGUGAGGCAAGAGGAAGCUCCUGCCCAGGAAAGAAAGAGGCGUCGCCAGCUUUGAGGACAGACACUGAGCAGAAGGAAGCGCCCCGGCCACCUCAGCCGCGGCCACUGUCGCCUCCAGGCCUCGCCUGGGCAGGAAGCCUGGGAGCAGGUGCACGGGGGCGGGGGGGGGGGGGCUGGGGGGUCCGCAGAUGCUCAUCCCAGAGACCCUGACCCCGAAGCUGGACUUCCAGCCAGGAGGGGACCCAGGACUGCCCUCCCUGCCAGCAGGAGGCUUCACGAAUACAGCUAAAACCACAACCAAGAAGGAAGGUCUGAUUGUUCCAGUUUACUUGGUCAGACACCAAACAAAGAGGCAUAAAUGGAAGUCCUAUCCACGCUCCACUGCCACGAGGGCCACGCAGUGCCAGCCUGGUCCUCGGUGUCCACGUCACGGCGGCCACCCCUGAGUCCCGGGACGGAUAGAGGUGACAGCAGACCGGCCACGACUCCCUCGGGCAAGCGGUUAAGAGGGUUUCUCUUCAAAACGUUCGCAUGUUGAUGAGACAAUGAGUCAGGAAGCGAUCGGAUUCAACUUGCCUGAAGAUAAGCUGCUGGAGAUUUUCAAAUUGGAGUCUGGCACCCUGCGUAUAUAAAAAAGUCACUGACUUGUGUCUAUUCAGAGCUAUGAAUUUCCAUGUUACUAGAGUUUCUUCUUUCUUGACAGAGAAAGUGCUAAAUAUUUAAAGGCUUAAAGUGGCCAGGAAAUUCAUAAGCUCACAUUCAAAAAUAAUUUCAUUCCGUUCUAAAAUUAGAGGUGGAGAAAGUCAAGAGAAUCAAAACAAGUUGUUACAAUGAGGACUUAACGUUGGAUCGAGCCUUGGUGCCCUUUCCUUCCAAAUCCGUUUUCAUUGAUUCUUGAUAAGCCCCAGCCUCCCACCAGAACACAGGUUAUAAAGGGGGUCCCAGAGGUGGGACCACUUUCCCAGAAUACUUCUCACCGUGGCGGCGGGGAAGGGGCCUGGGCCUGGGAGCCUCUUCCCCCAUCGGAAUGCAAAUUGCCAUUCUGGGAAUGUCAAUUGCUGCAUGGCUGAUAAUUUUAUGCUUUUGCCAUUGGAAGAAGCAUUCAGGAAAUGUGCCUCAGGCAUAUUUAGUUUGUUGAAAAACUAAGAAUGUCACAUAUAUAUGGUUUGGCCACCUACUUGGCACUGGGAACUUAAUAUAGCAUUGUUAUUUUUCUACAGAGCCAGAAUGCUAAAGAGCUGAUGGCUGAAUGGUUCUUGGGUAUGUUUCAGAAAGAAACAUCUACAUUUGAUGCUGAACAGCUCUCUAAAGGAACAGCAAAAGCAGAGGAGUUUUCAUUUUCUAGAAGGCAUAGAAGACCACUCAAAAACAAAACAAAACAAAACACAACUUAUAAAUAGACCAUCAUGUCCCAAAGUCAAGUAAUACACCAGUGUCCUGAGCAAAUUUAAAAGGUGUGGUUCCCGGCCCGCCCCGCUGGCCUCUGAGCCACAGUUAGCAACCAGGCGUGUCUGGGCUGGACUGGGCCGGGCUGGGCAUUGGCGUGAAUCGAUGCACGGACUUUAUCCAUCAUGUUCCUCGUGCUUUCUUCACCAUGUGUCUUGGAGCUCACUACAUGUGUGUACGUAUGUUUUUCCUUAUGUGAAAGAAAUAUAAUUGAUUUAAUAAUUUUCUCCAGUUGACAAAUAUUUUGGUUGUUUCCAAUCCAAUGGCUCCCAAAACCCUAACUCUCAUUUGAAUUUGCAAUUCCCUGAGACCUGGACAUUUUCAUACGUGUUUAUUAUCCACUGGUAUUUCAAUGACUGUGGAUCACCUACUUAUCUUGCCCAUUUUUAAAAUUUCACUGCUUGCAUUGUUCUGAUGAUUUUGCAGGCACUCUUUUUGUAUUCUGGAUACUAUUCCUUUGCUUGCUAAAUAUUUUCUUCCUAUCGGUUACUUGUCUUCUCCAAACUUUCCAGAAUGUUUCUUCUGCAUUUUCCUUUGCACAUGGUAGACUUGAUAUUCAGCUUGCCAAUACCAACUCAAAAAAUAUCUUAUCUGGAUUCUGACUGAAACAAGUUUGUGUUAUUUGGGAAGAACUGAAAUGUUUAUGAUAUUGAGGUAUCUCUUCAGAAGAGUCUGUCUCACUAUUCAAAUUUUUAAUGUUUUUCUUCAAGGCUUGCAUGUAGACUUCUGAUUGAUGGCCUCUACCAAGGAAAUAUUUUCUGUUAACUCAAUUGCUUACUUAAUUAGGAGAGAGUGUUGAAUAUGUUUUUAAAAAUUUAUUUAUUUAUUUGAGAGAGAGAGAGAAGGAGGGAGGGAUGGUGGGAGGGAGGGAAUGCAUGUGUGUGCUUGGUGGGGAAGGGUAGAGGAAGAAAGAGGGAGAGAGUCUCAAGCAGACUCUGCACUGAACACGAAGCCUGAUUCCAGGCUCGAUCUCAGCAUCCUGAGAUCACAACCUGAGCCAAAACAAAGAGUUGGAUGCUCAGCUGAUUACACCACGCAGGUGCCUUGGGAGUGUUGAACAUUUUUAAAUAUUUUUCAUAUCCAUUGAGAGAAUAAAUGAGUCUGUGAUUUUUUUUCUUGUCCUGUC
rnacentral:lncRNA from 12 species